rnacentral:tRNA from 1 species
GCGCUGAAUAGCAGGGCUGUCCACAGCGGACUCUUAAUCCGCGGGUUCGGGGUUCGAGUCCCUGGCGGCGCAC